rnacentral:lncRNA from 1 species
UGACAACCCCCCAUCCAGAGGAGAGUGAAAUUGCUCUCUACGAUUUGGACAGGUCAUGAAAAGCUAUCUCUAGAAAUUUUUGAAACCUUAUAUUUCAUUUCAAAAAUGAGUGCGAUUUUGCAUUUCUACCGCAAAAUAUAUCUCAGCCACAUACCGUUGGACCUAAUGUGACCAGCUGGCCCCAGGUGUGUCCAGACACACAACUUUGGACAUAUUAGGAGAAAUGAUCAGACUUCAGAAGGCCAAACCCAGCCCCUCCUGCUCUUGUGGCCGUGUCUCUUCCAGGUUUCUUGCCCUCUGUUUUUCUGGAACCCUGAGGGAUUUUACACAUGUUCCCUAAUGCUCCAUUCUCACAAGCCCGGGGUCCUCUCACCCCCUCUCACCCCUAAGUUUGUCCCUAAGUUCACUGAGUCAACAGCCUCGCAUGGGGGCAGGGUCCAGACAGCACCUCUUUCUCUUCCUGCAUUUCUUCAGGAGCCAGAAAGGGAUGGGGGUGUCUCUCCUAAAUUGUAUCAAUGUCUGGCAGCUCCGUAAGCCCUGUGUUCUGUCAUCUCAGGUCACUCUGCUGGCCUUGGGCCCCUCUCUGUCCUGCUGACCAUUCUGGUCUGGGCCCUGGGGAAAGGGCUUUCCUUUGUUGUGUCACAGAAGAGCUCCCAGCAGAGCGCAGCUUUCGCGUCUCUCCUGCAUAUCUCGGCCCUCUGCUUCCAGCAGGCAGGCUCUCCCGGACUCAGGGACUCCAUGGUCCUCCACAGCCUGGCUGUCGUCAGGGUCUCCGCUCUUUAGGUAUGUUCGUAAUGAACUCUGAUUGUGAACAAGAUUCAAAUUCUUUCCCAUGGGGCUCCUGGGUCCCAUUCAAAUCCCAACUCCUGUUAACCCUCCCCAAACACACAGUGGCCGUUCAGAAAGUGUCACUCUGAACAUAAAGACAAAGCUAGUCUUCAGGAGUGGAAGUGAGGGGCAGCUGAUAAGUCUCAGCUCUGACCCAGCCAAGACACCUUAGUGGGUGAAAGGGAAAGACAGCCAUUAACUGAAGGAAAGCAGACUCAGGAGGCAUAAGGAUGAAGAACCCUAACCUCAGAGGCUUGUGGGGGCUCCCACGGGUGCCAAGAUCCAAAAGUCAACCUCAGAU